AUUUUCCCCAAUACUCAACAUGGCCCAAAAAAUAAAGGAACAACAGUCAUCUUCUGAAUCUGAACUGGCAAUCCCCAAUUCUCUCUUCUAACUCCAAUCUGAAAUCCCUAAACAGCCUACUUCUCCUCGGACUCUCACUCUCGUCUCUCUCCAUCUUUCCGGUCUCAAUUUCUGCCACAGCGACGAGCUCACCACACCGCCUCAUCGGUAAUUCUCUCUCUCUCCUUCUACCUCCGUACAUCGCCGUCCCCCUUCCUCACUUCGCAGCUCCACCGUUGUCCAGUCAUGUUGCUGCUCAGGCCAGCUCGAUGUCACGCCGCCAUAGCCAACUCUCCUCUGUUCUUGGCUAGCUCUUCCCAUCAUUAUAGCUGCUGUCCGUCAUGAGCAACCGCGACUGCUGCUGCUGGAGCUUGCCCAUUAGAAAGAUAAAUACUGAUAAAUAGCUGGCGUGGUGUUAGAAGAGAUUAUUGGAACUGAAUUCUGUGGUUUAGGAUAUUUUCUUUGGCUUGAUUUUAGAAAACUCUACUUAACAUUCCUUUUAGUUGUUAUGAGUGGAGUGGUAAGCUUGUGAAGAAUGUUGUGGGUUCAUGUAUUGAUAGUCCUUGGUGCUACUGCUUUUUGAGUUUUUCAUAAUUGGAGUAGCUUCUCGCCAUGUAUGGGGAAUGCUGUAAUCGUUUCGAGCUAAGUAGGCUGUAUUUGCAGUGUUUCGUUUUUCAGGAUAUGAAAGAUAUGAGAGCAUGCUAUGAUUGCUUACUUUCUGCUGCAGCUGCUUCAGCAAUUAGUGCGUAUGGGUAAAUGUUACGGUGGAGGAAUCCAUCUCUAGAAAUGCUGAAUCUGAUACAAAUAGUUGUGGUGCGGAGGAAGAAGGCUUAAGCUUUGCAAAUAUAGCAGAGAUGUUGAAGCAGGGCCAAAUUCCAUCUGCGCUCAAAUUGUCGAAUGAUAAAACCUCUUGUUUUAGUGGGUCUGCUAAUCAUAUAGCUGUGUAGCAUCUGAUGAACUAUUGCUACUAAAAAGCAAUGAUGAACUAGUAAGACACGAGGCACUUUCGGUCAUGAAUCCGAUUCUUAUGAGACAUAAUGCCUAUUAGGAGAGAGACAAGUUUGCUGGGGAAUUAGUGUUUCAUACUUUAUCUCAAUCAUUGAGGAAGGAAGCUGGAUUCUCUGUACAAGACCAAGCAGUUCAUUCUCUGUACAAGACCAAGCUGGAUUCUUUACAUUAAAUUAUCUCUCAUUCAUACUUUGAAUUUUUUUUUUAUGAAUUUAAUUAUGUAAUUUUUAAUUUUUAAUAUUUUAAUUAUGUAAUUUUUAAUUUGUAGGAUUUUAAUUAUGUAAAUUUU